GAUGAACGCUAGCGGCAGGCUUAACACAUGCAAGUCGAGGGGUAUGCCGAUUUAUCGGCAGAGACCGGCGCACGGGUGCGUAACGCGUAUGCAAUCUACCUUUCACAGAGGAUAGCCCAGAGAAAUUUGGAUUAAUACCUCAUAGUAUAGCAGUUUCGCAUGAAACCACUAUUAAAGUUCCAACGGUGAAAGAUGAGCAUGCGUCCCAUUAGCUAGAUGGUAAGGUAACGGCUUACCAUGGCUACGAUGGGUAGGGGUCCUGAGAGGGAGAUCCCCCACACUGGUACUGAGACACGGACCAGACUCCUACGGGAGGCAGCAGUGAGGAAUAUUGGUCAAUGGACGCAAGUCUGAACCAGCCAUGCCGCGUGCAGGAUGACGGUCCUAUGGAUUGUAAAACUGCUUUUUGUACGAGAAGAAACAACAUUUAACGUGUAAUGUCUUGACGGUAUCGUAAGAAUAAGGAUCGGCUAACUCCGUGCCAG
rnacentral:rRNA from 1 species